AGAUACUAGAGUCACUCUCAUCAAUCACAGAUGUGCUUAGCAAUGCAUAACCUAAAUACUUUUUUAAAAAAGAAAAUUGUACAUUGUACUGGGUGCCACAUAUAUAAAUCCCAUUAUUUUGUUUAUUUUAUAUAUAUAUAUAUAUAUCUCAACAGCAGUGUUAGAGUACUGCGAUCUAUUAUCAUAUUUAUUGUCUAUCCACACCAUCACCACCACCACCACACCCCUCCUCCCUCAACAUACAAAUAAUUUUUCUUUAUUUAAAAAAAAAUAAGAGACGGGGUUUCACCAUGUUUCCCAGGCUAGUCUGGAACUUCUGGCCUCAAGCAAUCCUAUCUCUGUCUCCCAAAGUGCUGGGAUUACAAGCAUGAGCCACUGCAUCCAUCCAACACACAAUUUUUAAAAUCGGAAUAUUUUAAAGCAAAUCACACAAAUUAUUUCACUUAUAAUACUUCAGUAAGGCCUUUAAAAAAUCCACAGUGAUAUUAUUACUCCUAACAAAAACAAUACUUAGUAUCAUCUAAUAUGUGGUUCAUAUUUAAAUUUGUUGUUUUGAGAUGGGUCUUACAAUUGGUUUAUUCAAUUGCAUUUUUUCUAACUCGUGUCUCAAGUGUUUUAAAAAUCUACUGAACUUAUGAGUUAUAUACUGUAUUUCUCAUUUUACCUUUCUUCCAAAAGAGGAAAUAAUGGCAAACCAUAUAAUAUUGUACAUUCACUGUCAAAAAGCAAACCCUUGUUUUGAUAACUUGUUGAUUGAUAAAAGUUUUCCAAAUUGAUUUUUUUUCUUAAAUAUUUAUAAAUGUUAAAUUAAGUCUUAUCCUGGUAUCUAAUUGUCAAGAAAAUAUACUCACUGAAAAAUGGACAAAAUACUUGUGCGGAGGUCUACAGAGAUGGCUUACAAGAGUUUUCUUCACAUCCUUUCUCCAUUUUACCUGAAAGGAAACAUCUCUCGCAUGAGGAAAAGAGGCCAAAUCUGUUCAACCAAGGCACCAUUCAGAAAGGGAGCAAUGUUUGGAAUUCAUUGCAGCGCACACCUUCCCCUGCAGAGAGUGCUGGGAAGAGUUGCAGUCUUGUCAAGUUAGGUCAGGAGAUUGAAGUCAUCACUGCAGAAGCCGUAGCACACAGCCCAGAGCUCUGACCUGGCCGCCCUGCUGUGCAAUAACUAGUGCGAGUGGGCAAAACAGCUCAGAGCUAUGAAAAGGAAAAAGGAGCAAGGAGAGGAGGAUUUUCUAUGCUUCACUGCAGAAAACACAAGUGAGGAAACUAAAUGAGACUUUUCCAGGAGUUACUGUUGUAAACUGCAGAACCUGAAUUUAAAUGCCAGUCAAAUCCAUGGAUGUUAAAAGUAUGGCCUCUCUAUAUAGGAAAUUCCUCUUCGUUUUAUCAUCUAGCAAACAGGUACUGGUGCCAGGGCAUUACGCUGGGUACAAGAUAUGCAGUGAUGAGCAGAAAAGAUGCUGUCUGUGCUCACAUGGAGCUUCCGGUCUUUAACAAUCAGUCAGAACUGUGUCAUUCCAGAUGUGUAGAGUCGGGGUUUCAUCAUAUUGACCAGGCGGGUCUCGAACUCCUGACCUCAAGCAAUCUGCCUGCCUCAGCCUCCCAAAGUGCUGGGAUUACAGGCGUGAGCCACCGUGCCCGGCUCAGGAGUGAUCCUAAUGACAGUGACUACUUCUAGAGGGAUCAAGUGGAUGAACCGGAGUGACUUAUGGAUUGUGACAGGCCUUUCAUGGAAGUUGCCAUGGUUCUGCAUCCCUAAACCAAUGAGACACAAUGGCAAGUUUCUCUUCCUACAUCUAUUUCAACCACCAGCUUAACUCCCCUUCCUGAGUGCAGCUAAAGCUGUGGCCAUCAGGCAGGUGAAUCUUGGUGCCUCCUGUUCAACCAACAGGAAUGACUGAAGCAGGAUGGGGGUGGGACCAGCAGUAAGAAGCCCAGAGCAAUGACCAGAGCUCCCUUUCUGGGGAGAGCUGGGCUGGAGAAAAUCUAUGCACUGCUGAUCUCCUAAGGAGAGAGCUUCAAGGGUGAAAAGACGGUGUCCCACAGGCCUGAGGCUGCACAGAUCUAGCUUUUGCCAUUGAGGACAGCAGGGACAGUAAAGCUUCCCAGAUCCCCUUUCAACCUGCCAGCUGGCAUGUCACCUACCAUAGAGGAAGCCAAUCCUAGACCUUGUACUAAUUGAGAGAUUGCAAAAGUAUCCUGUUAGCUGGGUCUGGACACCAGUGAUAAAUAGACUCAUGAGUGAGCUAAGGAAAGGAACUGGCCCAUCUAAAAGGAACCGGCCCAAGGAAAAGCAGGAAUCUAUGAAGGCAUUCAAUAACUUGGACCAAAAAGGAACAAGAAGGUAAAAUUGAAUACUUGGGUGAUGGUUACACUAAAAACCUAGAUUUCCCCACUACAAGAUAUAUCCAUGUAACAAAACUGCACUUGUACCCCUUAAAUUUAUAUACUU